rnacentral:rRNA from 1 species
CCUUGUACAGGGGGAUAACAGUUGGAAACGAGCUGCUAAUACCGCAUAAGCGCACGGGGCUGCAUGGCCCAGUGUGAAAAACUCCGGUGGUAUAAGAUGGACCCGCGUCUGAUUAGCUUGUUGGCGGGGUAACGGCCCACCAAGGCGACGAUCAGUAGCCGGCCUGAGAGGGUGGACGGCCACAUUGGGACUGAGACACGGCCCAAACUCCUACGGGAGGCAGCAGUGGGGGAUAUUGGACAAUGGGGGAAACCCUGAUCCAGCGACGCCGCGUGAGUGAAGAAGUAUUUCGGUAUGUAAAGCUCUGUCAGCAGGGAAGAAAGAAAUGACGGUACCUGACCAAGAAGCCCCGGCUAACUACGUGCCAGCAGCCGCGGUAAUACGUAGGGGGCAAGCGUUAUCCGGAAUUACUGGGUGUAAAGGGAGCGUAGACGGUGAUGCAAGUCUGGAGUGAAAGGCGGGGGCCCAACCCCCGGACUGCUCUGGAAACUGUGUAACUUGAGUGCAGGAGAGGUAAGCGGAAUUCCUAGUGUAGCGGUGAAAUGCGUAGAUAUUAGGAGGAACACCAGUGGCGAAGGCGGCUUACUGGACUGUAACUGACGUUGAGGCUCGAAAGCGUGGGGAGCAAACAGGAUUAGAUACCCUGGUAGUCCACGCCGUAAACGAUGAUUACUAGGUGUCGGUGGGUAUGGACCCACCGGUGCCGCAGCAAACGCAGUAAGUAAUCCACCUGGGGAGUACGUUUCGCAGAAUGAAACUCAAGGAAUUUGACGGGACCCGCACAAGCGGUUGGAGCAUUGUGGUUUAAUUCCGAAGCAACG